AUUGCCCCAGUAACGGCGAGUGAAGCGGCAACAGCUCAAAUUUGAAAUCUGGCCCUCGGGUCCGAGUUGUAAUUUGUAGAGGAUGCUUUUGGCGAGGUGCCUUCCGAGUUCCCUGGAACGGGACGCCAUAGAGGGUGAGAGCCCCGUCUGGUCGGACACCGAGCCUCUGUAAAGCUCCUUCGACGAGUCGAGUAGUUUGGGAAUGCUGCUCAAAAUGGGAGGUAUAUGUCUUCUAAAGCUAAAUAUUGGCCAGAGACCGAUAGCGCACAAGUAGAGUGAUCGAAAGAUGAAAAGCACUUUGAAAAGAGGGUUAAAAAGUACGUGAAAUUGUUGAAAGGGAAGCGCCUAUGACCAGACUUGAGCCCGGUGAAUCAUCCAGCGUUCUCGCUGGUGCACUUUGCCGGGCCCAGGCCAGCAUCAGUUUGGCGCGGGGGAUAAAGGUGACGGGAAUGUGGCUCCCUCGGGAGUGUUAUAGCCCGCUACGUAAUACCCUGCGCCGGACUGAGGUACGCGCAUUGCAAGGAUGCUGGCGUAAUGGUCAUCAGCGACCCGUCUUGAAACACGGACCAAGGAGUCGUCUUCGUAUGCGAGUGUUCGGGUGUCAAACCCCUACGCGUAAUGAAAGUGAACGCAGGUGAGAGCUUCGGCGCAUCAUCGACCGAUCCUGAUGUUCUCGGAUGGAUUUGAGUAAGAGCAUACGGGGCCGGACCCGAAAGAAGGUGAACUAUGCCUGUAUAGGGUGAAGCCAGAGGAAACUCUGGUGGAGGCUCGCAGCGGUUCUGACGUGCGAAUCGAUCGUCAAAUAUGGGCAUGGGGGCGAAAGACUAAU
rnacentral:rRNA from 1 species